rnacentral:rRNA from 1 species
UGGGGAAUAUUGGACAAUGGGCGAAAGCCUGAUCCAGCCAUGCCGCGUGUGUGAAGAAGGCCUUUUGGUUGUAAAGCACUUUAAGCGAGGAGGAGGCUACUUGGAUUAAUACUCUAGGAUAGUGGACGUUACUCGCAGAAUAAGCACCGGCUAACUCUGUGCCAGCAGCCGCGGUAAUACAGAGGGUGCGAGCGUUAAUCGGAUUUACUGGGCGUAAAGCGUGCGUAGGCGGCUUCUUAAGUCGGAUGUGAAAUCCCUGAGCUUAACUUAGGAAUUGCAUUCGAUACUGGGAAGCUGGAGUAUGGGAGAGGAUGGUAGAAUUCCAGGUGUAGCGGUGAAAUGCGUAGAGAUCUGGAGGAAUACCGAUGGCGAAGGCAGCCAUCUGGCCUAAUACUGACGCUGAGGUACGAAAGCAUGGGGAGCAAACAGG